UGUGCAGGGAAGCGGUUCCAGGAAAUAGCUCCACCGUAUAGACCGUACCCGAAACCGACACAGGUGGUCAGGUAGAGAAUACCAAGGCGCUUGAGAGAACUCUGCUGAAGGAACUCGGCAAAUUGCACGCGUAACUUCGGAAGAAGCGUGACCCUUAUGUACGCAAGUAUGUGAGGGUGGCACAGACCAGGGGGUAGCGACUGUUUACCAAAAACACAGGGCUCUGCGAAGUCGCAAGA
rnacentral:rRNA from 1 species